ensembl:lncRNA
UCUGUGUCUGUAUGUGUAGUUUCAAAUGUCUUACUCCGCAACGGAUAAUCACAAUGAGCUGGAUGUAUAUCUUUCUACCCAUCGCCUGGGGUGCUGUUGUGUCCUCUUACACAGUGGAGCUGUACGUGAGACCAGGAGAAACCGUUACUGUACCUUGUGACUGUAAACUCUCAUCUGGUGAAACUAUUGUUUGGUACAGGAACUGUUCUCAUGAAAAUCAGCCCCCACUUAUUCUGACAAUGCAGGAAUUAGAGGAGAAUAAGGACUCCAAAUUAUCCAAUCUAAGUGGGAUGUGGAACCAUUCUUCAAAAACAUACACUUUACUGAUUACGAACAUAUCUGAUACUCACCUUGGUCUCUACUACUGUCGAAUUGAAAAACAGUCUAGGAAAGAGCAAGACCAGAAUGAUACAAAGUAUAAACACAGAUGUGGAAAUGUUACCACAAGGAUUUCAUUUGAUAUAAGUGUAGGUCCUACACUGAAGGACAUUGCAGGUUUUGGGGACUCUGCUGCUCCAGACUGUAGACAGUGCUGGAUGCUGCUGGUCAUCUUGUGUCCCUCCUCUGCUCUUCUCCUCUCCCUCCUCUCAUCCUUUGUCGUCUACCUCUGUUGCAGAAGGAAAGAUGAAUCCCUCCAUGUUGCUCAGACAUCACCCAGCAGUAGAGAUAUAACAUCAAUCAGGAACCAGGAUGAAGAUGGCCUGUUUUAUGCUACACUGGAUAUCCCUCUACGUUCUCAGAGACCUAAAAAGAAGAGAGUCCAACCCUCAGAGUUCAGCACCUACUCAGCCAUCAGUACUAAGAGGAUGUGACCAUGACCAAGUCUUUUAAUACAAAUUCAAAGUACUCUACUUUCUCAAUGUGACCUUAUCUUUGUGCUGUCAAGAGGAGGAAUAUUUUCCACUUCAGUCUCAAGAAAAUGCAAACAUGUCAUAAAGUAAAGCUUGUUCGGAAGAAUGUUUAAAUACCGUUUGCAUAUUGUUAGUCAAUGGUGCAAAUCUAAUAAUGCUUUUUUGGCUAUGUUCAUUCACUAGAUUAUUAGAUAUUGUUUGUUAUUUGUUGGUUACUAUGCAGUAUGAUUGAUUGAAGAGAAAUUUAGAAAGGCCUCUGUUUGUAUAAGGUUAUGAUCUUGAACUAUUUAAAGCUAUUCUGCGUAGGUUGUAAUGUUUGCUUGGCAGUCUCUAAUCCAUGUCUUACAAUUAGGACACUGGCAGCACCUUUAAUGUCCCAUGAACACGUCGUUACAGCAAAAAUACGGUAACAUUUUUCAAUAAGGCUACAUUUUUUCACCAUUAUUUAACAUUAGUUAUUGCAGUAAUACAGUGAAUAAGGGCUUAAUUUAUACACUAUUGA